CGAACAAAGCGAAAUAUUUGAAAAAGGGCCCUAAUAAAAAAACUUAAGAUACAGACUGUUUGUUUUUUCUACACAUUAUGAGAAGCUUUUUGCCUACUAAAAUGAAGCUUAAAACUAACUAAAAUUGUUAGCAGAUCGAUAAAGACUUUCAAACGUUCUAUGCAACCAGCACAUCAAUACCUUCCUUGUGGCAAAAUCAUUGGAAUACAUCAAAAACUUCAUGAAGGAAAACAUAAAGGACUAAAAGGUUACAGAAACAUUGAACGACUUGGGAGAUACUAAUUUUGGAGAAGGUGAUUUCGUGCUAAAGAUAAUUAAAAGUAUUCACUUCUAAAUAUUUUCAAUAGCAGCAGUUCCAAGAAAAUGUGAAACCGGAGCCAAGUCAAGAAGCAAAUUCACCAUCAAUGAGUGACUGAUGGCAUUCAUCUUUAAAGCAGAGACGAUGCAAAGUAUUAGAGGACAACAUAGUACUCCGGAAAUCCAGAGGUGAAACUAUUCAACCUCUAAUACUUACAGUAAGGGAACAAAUUAAUACUUAAUUUUGUUAUGUGGCCACAAAAUCAAGACAACCAAUGUCUUAAAAGCUGUGGACUUUUUUUGUUCAACUUAAACUUCAUUGAAAGAUGAAUCCAAUACUGUCAACAAUGCAACCUACAGUUACGUUAAGUAUAAAAUUUAAUUUAAUUAUAAACA